GAAUUUUUGACAACGGGCGAAAGCCUGAUCCAGCAAUGCCGCGUGCAGGAUGAAGGCCUUCGGGUUGUAAACUGCCUUUGUACGGAACGAAAAGCUUUUGGGUAAUACCCUGGAGCCAUGACGGUACCGCAAGAACAAGCACCGGCUAACCACGUGCCAGCAGCCGCGGUAAAACGUAGGGUGCAAGCGUUAAUCGGAAUUACUGGGCGUAAAGCGUGCGCAGGCGGUUUUGUAAGACAGAGGUGAAAUCCCCGGGCUCAGCCUGGGAACUGCCUUUGUGACUGCAAGGCUAGAGUACGGCAGAGGGGGGUGGAAUUCCGCGUGUAGCAGUGAAAUGCGUAGAUAUGCGGAGGAACACCGAUGGCGAAGGCAACCCCCUGGGCCUGUACUGACGCUCAUGCACGAAAGCGUGGGGAGCAAAC
rnacentral:rRNA from 1 species